CCUACGGGGGACAGCAGUGGGGAAUAUUGGGCAAUGGGCGCAAGCCUGACCCAGCAACGCCGCGUGAAGGAAGAAGGCCUUCGGGUUGUAAACUUCUUUUCUCAGGGACGAAGAAUGUGACGGUACCUGAGGAAUAAGCCACGGCUAACUACGUGCACGCAGCAGCGGUAAUCCGUAGGUGGCAAGCGUUAUCCGGAUUUACUGGGUGUAAAGGGCGUGUAGGCGGGACUGCAAGUCAGCUGUGAAAACCACGGGCUCAACCUGUGGCCUGCCUUUGAAACUGUAGUGCUUGAGUACGGGAGAGGCAGACGGAAUUCCUAGUGUAGCGGUGAAAUGCGUAGAUAUUAGGAGGAACACCAGUGGCGAAGGCAGUCUGCUGGACAGCAACUGACGCUGAGGCGCGAAAGCGUGGGGAGCAAACAGGAUUAGAUACCCGUGUAGUC
rnacentral:rRNA from 1 species